rnacentral:rRNA from 1 species
UACGUAGGUGGCGAGCGUUGUCCGGAUUUACUGGGCGUAAAGAGCGCGCAGGCGGUCGUUCAAGUCGCGUGUGAAAGCCCCCGGCUCAACUGGGGAGGGUCACGCGAUACUGAUCGACUCGAAGGCAGGAGAGGGAAGUGGAAUUCCCGGUGUAGUGGUGAAAUGCGUAGAUAUCGGGAGGAGCACCAGUGGCGAAGGCGACUUCCUGGCCUGUUCUUGACGCUGAGGCGCGAAAGCUAGGGGAGCAAACGGG